rnacentral:rRNA from 1 species
GACGAACGCUGGCGGCGUGCUUAACACAUGCAAGUCGAACGGAAAGGCCCUGCUUUUGUGGGGUGCUCGAGUGGCGAACGGGUGGGUAACACGUGAGUAACCUGGCCUUGACUUUGGGAUAAAUUCAGGAAACUGGGGCUAAUACCGGAUAGGAGCUCCUGCUGCAUGGUGGGGGUUGGAAAGUUUCGGCGGUUGGGGAUGGACUCGCGGCUUAUCAGCUUGUUGGUGGGGUAGUGGCUUACCAAGGCUUUGACGGGUAGCCGGCCUGAGAGGGUGACCGGCCACAUUGGGACUGAGAUACGGCCCAGACUCCUACGGGAGGCAGCAGUGGGGAAUAUUGCACAAUGGGCGGAAGCCUGAUGCAGCAACGCCGCGUGCGGGAUGACGGCCUUCGGGUUGUAAACCGCUUUCGCCUGUGACGAAGCGUGAGUGACGGUAAUGGGUAAAGAAGCACCGGCUAACUACGUG